rnacentral:lncRNA from 1 species
GAGAGUGAGCGGCCGCGGGACAUGGACUCAAGCUAACACAGGUUCAUGGCGGAGCAGCUCACCUGCUGGUCUCCACUUCGUAGGCGGCAGUAGCUGCCUCACCAAUUGAUGUGCUCUUUUUAUUCCUUUGUAGAUCCAUUUUUUCCAACAGGCCUCAAUAAAAAUUGGGGAUCAAGAAAUUGAUCGCUUCGAAGUACUGAGCAUGCAUAUUCUUUCUUAUGCACGAGGGUAUGAAACAUGUUAUUGUUGCCAAUUCUUGCAGCACAGGGGAUUUUUGGUGCUCAAGUGGUCAACCCAUCCGCCAAUGCCGUCAUGAUCUUCAUUGGGUGUGCUUGCACUUUUUUUUGGAAGAUGCCAGGCUGUAGCGCUGCUUCAGUAUAUUAAGAGAAGAUUUACAAAAUCUGAAGAUGUAUAAUUACACUUGAUCUAUGCAUAUUUGCGUAGAUUUGAAUAACUUUGAGUUUGUGACCAUCACACUUGGUAUCUUCGCUGAUGUAUUUUUUGUUUUGCUAGAUCAAGUAGUUCCUGUGAAAUGACUUAGGGAAUAGAGUGGCUCACUGGGGUAAUUAGUAGUAGCGCCUCAUGCUGACAGGGAGUGCACGAUCGAGGUAUGUAUUUUCAGCUUGUUAGUCAGGAUGAAGUGGAAUACAUCAUAAUAUUUCUUUGCAUGAACUGUCAGGGACAUAUCACCACGUCCACUUAAUCCAGUUUAUCCGUGUUCAGUUCCAUAGAUUGCCUACCUGUGUUCGGAUUUACCAUGUAUUAUUUGACUAGAAAAAUUGCAUUGUUAAUCGCUUCAGAGAACAAGUGAAAAUGUAGGUUGUAUCCCUCUUUAGUUUGUUAACAAUCUAUUGACGGUCGCUUCAGAGAACAAGUGAAAAUUUAGGUUGUAUCCCUCUUUAGUUUGUUAACAAUCUAUUUACGGAGUCACUACUCCAUCAUCACAUAAUACACAUAUGUUAAGGUCAAGAAUUUGUCAUCUAUACUUCUGAUCCCUUUUUAGUUAUGCUGAACUUGAGAAAGUGGAUUAUUGGAACAAGUGAAUUAUUUUUGAAAAGUAAAUUGUCAGUCUGUUACAUGUGGGAAGAGACCUUUUGGAACAAGUGAAUUAUUUGAAAAUUAAAAUCUUUAAAUUUGUUAAAAGUGAAGUUACUCUCCAACUACAAUUCUAUGCAAGCAUUGAUCUUUAAAUUGAAGGUGAUUAUUCUUCUUAAGAAGGGAGAACGAUUCACUUUGGUGUAUAUGAUCCUAUGGUCUUUUUUAUUGAUUGCUAUGGUUGUUCCUAUUAUAUCCUCUAACUGACCCAACUUGCCAUUUCAUACUCAUGCUAUUAGAUCGGGUGCUCAUGCAAGAUGGUUACUUCUCUUAAGUGUGUGUUACUGUUUGUUUGUGGUUUAGACUUGAACACAUACUUUUGUUUGAAAACAAUAAGGGCCAGCCUCUCAUGAUUACGAUAACUAAUUAUUCAUUUAACACAUGCAGACUAUCAGAUACAACCGGAUGCCGCCACUUUGCAGUGUCAGAUUUAUGUUGGUGAGCUGGCCCAUGCUGUUCAUGGAAUGACUUGAUGUGAAAGGAAUUGGGCCCAUAGGUCGAGAAGAGAAGCUUUCGUUGAGCAUAACGGUGGUGUUGUUGGCAUUUUUUAUAUUAGUUAGAUCUUCAGAUAGCCUUUGUUUGGAGGUCAGAUAGUCUUAUUAUGAGGAUCGAGUAUGAAAUUAUGACAUUCUAUGAGGACUACGUUUCGGCACAUAAAUUAUGAACCAAUUAUUCCUUCUUGAAAGACGUUGUUUUUCCAGAAAAAUACUACUAUGAGUUCAGAAUUUUAGCAAAACAUGCAAGUUGUCAUUUUGAGAUUAGUUGUUAACUAGCAUUUGAAGGCAUGUGAUAAACAAAGAGACUAAUGGGUAUGUAUUGUAAAAUAUACAAUAUCACCUGUUGUGCAUGUGGAAUCUAUCUAAAGAUAUAGGUUACCCAUGAUCGGUGUUGAUCCACAAGAAUUUGUAUGUCCCCGUUGC